CUAAAUCUGCCCUUGCUUAGAUGCCCCCAUGUCUAUCAGGGGAUAAAACUGAAAGAUAAACUGGAAAUUCUGUAACACACCCUGCUCCAGCAAUCCUGCUCUGGGAUCCCUCACACAGCAUGUAACACUAAAUGGAGGGAAACCUUCUCUCUCACUGCUCUCUACAACUUUGCACAGCUCUGGUGCCCUGUGGCUCUCUCUCUGCAGCAGGAUAGCCCGGGGUGGCAGCAGUGAUGGUCAUCCCCGGACAAGCUUCACUGGAGCAGGGGCAGGAUCUGCUUGGGAGCGUGAUGGUGACCACAAGCCAGGAAACUGCUGAGUGUGGUGGAUAUUUGAAGAGAGACCACGAUGCUCACAUAAUGGCAAUGCCUGCGGGUCUGUGCAGGUGUCAUGGUAAACAAGCACUGAGAAAACUCAUUGUCAGCACACCAGCACUGAGAAAGAUGAAAGAAAUUUCUUCAGGCUGAGGAAUGUAAUACAAGAUGGAAAUGAAAUUUGGAUACAUACAAAAGAUUGAAGAGUGCUAAAAAUGGCAAAAAAGAGAACAGUAACAGAGAUGACGAAAUGAAAGACAAGGAAGUGACAAAGUGGAGAGCUAGCUUGCAGAUAACUGGAAUUUCUGAAGAAGAUCAGUAGGA